rnacentral:lncRNA from 1 species
GCCGGGAGUCUGGAGUGGUGCAGCCCCAGGGGGAUUUGGGUGAGGGGAUUUGAGGAAUGGGUUGUAGAAUUUGGGGCGGGAGGGAGGAGGGAGCCCCAGGAGUGAGGCUGGUGGCUGUCAGGUCACCUGAGAGGGACGCGGUGAGGUGCCCGGGUGUCUCACCUGCCUGCUUGCGUCCACCUGGUGUGUACAGUCUGCGGUCGGCAUAGCUGUUCAUUGUGGAAAAAAGAAAGGAAAAAGGCAAAAAGUUACUUCCUCUCCAAUUGCCAGUACCCUUUACUUAGGCAUUGGGAAGGCCUAGUUGCAGGGCUCUGAUGCAAUGUUUUUGUCUUUGUCUUGGUGACAAAGAUAGUUCAUCUGUUACCACUUCAUCAUCUAUCACUGCUUCAUCUGAGCACUGUACAUACAAGGAUUAAUAGUGUCUUUUCUCUGGUUUUAGUGCUAGUUUGUACACGUUUAACCAAUGGAAACACAGUACCUUUAUCUAUUUGUACAAGAUGACAGUCAAAUCUCCACAAAGGAGCAGCUCCAAGGGGUGCCAGGGUUCCUCAAAUACACCCUUUAAGGGAGCAAAUUACUGUAAACUGUGGUCUUUUAAAAUUGCAGAAUAUCCUGCUUACCAGGGUAGAGCACGUUGCUGGAGCAGUAUGGUAAGUUAACUCUGUGAAUGAACAGCAAGUUAUAUUUCCUCUGGCAAAGGAGACGGGGAAAACAGAUGUUAAGGAAAAUACUCUGGCAGUGUUCUCAUGUUGAG